AGACGCUAGUGGUGGAUCAAAUGUUCUGCCAUUUGCUGCUUCUGACUUGGUUUUGAGCCCCUCCCAAUGGAGUAGUCAUGUUGUGGAUUCUACUUGGGCGAAUUAUUUUUUCUGGAUGGUAUGAGAGAUAGUUCAUGCUGUGGGUAUAAAAUUUUGAAUUUACUGUUGCUAAUCAUUUCAUUUCAUAUGUGUUUCAGUUUCUUGUUUAUCUUGAUGCUGGAGCAUGUGAUAGUUUCUAUCAGGAGAAUUAUUUUAUGCGAAUAGUUAUUCUCUCAAGCAGAUGACAUUUUUAAUUUGCUUCAAAAAGUUUUUGAUUUUUAGCAUACAUUUUCCAUAAAGAGUUCGGAUUUUAAAAGAUAAUUAGGAGGUUGGGAGAAGAAAUUGAUAUAUUCAUUUGAUUUUGUAGUCUUGUUUGAAAGAUUUUGUCUUUAGCAAAGUCUUUUGCUUAGGAGUUUGCUUUUUAAAAAAUCAGGUUGAGAGACUUGUUCGGGCCUGUAAAAAUUCAAAGUCAUAGUAUGAUUUAUGCUAAAGUUCUUCUCUGGUGCGGAUGUUCUGUAAAAAUUUUGGUUUGGUAAAAAGUGAUAAAAUAGGUUCUUUUUGCAUUACAAUCUUGUGGAACUCCCCCAGUAUAUUCUCGAAUCUAUUCAGGAAAAAUUAGUUCGUGGAUUCACUUGGAUUCAGAAGAUGAGACUGGAUGGGUUCUGAAAUUACUUUGAAGCAAGAAAUAGCAUGGGCUACACAUUUGUCCUUACAGGUUUGUCUUGAAAUGAUUUCCCUGCAAUGUUUAUAUUAGUUCAAACAAAAUAUUAAGCAUUGAUGUAAAUUUCUUUUUGUUUUGCUUGUGAUGUUAGCUUCUUCAUAUGAUGCACUACAAAAUCCAAAUUAUUUUCCCGAGGAGAAAUUGUGAGGAAAACUAAAUGAAGUAGCAUAUACUGCUUUGCUUUUAAUAAUUUUUUGACUGGAUUGUCUUUUUGACCUUUAAUCUUUUGGCUGCUGGUUACUUUAUUUUUUUAUUGUCUUACGGUAUGAUGGUGGGUGAUUUUAACUUGAAUAACUUCCAAGAUGGUGUGCUAUCGUCUACUUUUAUGGUUGGACUGCUUGUGGCUUCUCCAAUAUUUGCUUCCUUGGCAAAGAGAUGAGUGUGGCAGAAGCCAGAAAAGCUUGUCAAAGUCAAUAUGGGUGGAUGAAGGAAGCAUUGGAUAGAUUAGUAGAGCAACUAACGUCGCAAUGACAACAACAACCUGAUGAGGAAUAACUGGUAGAUCAUUCUUUGAAGCUAAUCAAGAAAAUCUGAAUUGUAAAUAGAAUGUUGUUGAAGACAAAGAGAUUGUGUUUAGGCCGGAUAAACUUUAGCUCAAAGUAGUAGGGAUGGAAGCAAGCAAGAAACUGUGACAACAUUGAAGAUUCCAGAUUAUAGGAAAGAACAAAGAUGUUUGCAAUUUUGUUUCUUGUUUCACUCUUUUGGAAUUGGAAUCUUGAAACUUAGAAGAUUUUGUGUUAGUGGGUAAGUAGGAAUUGUAAUGUUGACAAUCUUUGUUAACUAAUAAAGAAGUGCACUUUGA